AUGUCAGAGUACCUCUGCCGUGUGGAGAAAAAAAAAAGUGAAGUCCUCCUUGGUGGGAGGAUGCAAAUGCAGGAAGUGAUAUUUGUGCUACCCCAAAAAAGAACACUGUCAUCAACAGAUGUUCCACACGUGAUGGCUGCCGGAAUCACUCGAUCCCCAGUGAGACUGCUGCUCUUCUCUUUGGUGAUGGUGAUCAGAAGUUCUCUCUUAGCCACUGGACAGAAAUAUGAGCUCAUCUUCCCGUGUCAGGAGGACCUAGUCUGCAUUCGCAUGUGGCGCUUUAACCAGAGGAGCACUGCGGAUUACAUCGCCGUGGCAACGGCUGGACUGAUCAAGGCCAGAUCAGAGAGGUCAUCAGAGUGCCAUCUGCCAAUCAAAGAGGAGAAAGACCAAAUCGUUGAGAUUUGCACGAACGGGACACAAGUGCCAUUUGCUAAAAAGGACGUCCUAAACAUCAGCCUGAAUUGGGGCAAAUCUGCAUCGCUGCAGUGCGUCCUGCUCGCUUAUGGCAGGCAUAAAUGCAGCGGGCAGAAGGUCCGCCUGAGGUGGCUGGAUGAAGCCGGCACUGACAUGGAGGCACACUCGGAGCAUCGGGUUGAUCGGGACUCUGACUGUAACGUAACUCUGACUGUCACCUUCAAAAGUCCUGGAAUCAAAAAGCUCAGCUGUCAGGUCACUGUGAACAAAGAGAACAGGAAUUCAGUGAAGCUGUGGGUCAAAGUUCCAGCUGUUAAAGGGGAAGGAAGAGCGAUGGUUGUAGUGCCUGGACCUGAUCACAAGCUCCCAGACGCAGGCGGCAAAAGGGACAUUGUCAGCACGGCGGUGGGGGUGGCGGGAUGUGCGUUUUUUAUCGCGGCGGUUGCAGCUUUUGUUGUAAGAAGAAAAAGAAGAACUAGAAACCAGCUGCCUGGUGGAUCCGAAUCAACCAGCAACCACGACAACGUGAUCUAUGCUGAUUUGAUCCUACCUGACAGCUCCGUUCAGAUGUUGGUGCGCGAGGACACCGAAUACGCCUGCAUCCAACGCCAAUAAUCUGUGGCCUGCGCCGUCAAUCCGUCGCCGCGACGACGCCAUCGCACACAAACCGACGCAACCGAGUCAGCCGUUUGGGGCCUAAGCAUCGUCCCCUGUCUACCUCGUUUAACCUUUGACCCCCUCUGAGCUUACAGCUGCAUAAUUAGUGGAUGUCUUUAAAUAAAGUUUGUGCUGAAAUGUUUGCGCCACUUUGUGUGAGGACGCAUGCUGAGUUGUGUUUGAGACCGGCUUCAGCCUUCAUCUCCUUCUGAUUGCUACACACACGCUCACGUGCACACACACACGUUGGGCCCCAGCAGGUGAGAGACUGCCGGAGCCGGCCCAGUGUUGCCCUAUUUGCAUUUUAAAUGCUUGCAGCCAGCCCACUACUGUG
rnacentral:lncRNA from 1 species